rnacentral:rRNA from 1 species
AUAUUAUUAAGCGGUGGGAAAGAAAAUAACAAUGAUUCCCCUAGUAACGGCGAGUGAAGCGGGAGAAGCUCAACGUUAAAAUCGGGGUACCGAGAGGUGCCUCCGAAUUGUAAUCUCGAGACAUCGGCUCAGCUUCGACCUUCCGAUAAGUCCUUUGAAAGAAGGCGUCACAGAGGGUGAGAAUCCCGUCUUAGCGGAAGAGCUUCGGGGCGUACGGGUGGUGUUCGACGAGUCGAAUAGCUUGGGAAUGCUGUUCUAAAAUGGUGGUAAAUUUCAUCGAAAGCUCAAUACCGACGAGAGACCGAUAGCGCACAAGUA